rnacentral:rRNA from 1 species
GAUCCUGGCUCAGGAUGAACGCUAGCUACAGGCUUAACACAUGCAAGUCGAGGGGCAGCAUGGAGUUGCUUGCAAACUCUGAUGGCGACCGGCGCACGGGUGAGUAACGCGUAUCCAACCUUCCCUAUAGUAGAGGAUAGCCCGGCGAAAGUCGGAUUAAUACUCUAUGUUUUCCGUUGCAGACAUCUAAGAUGGAACAAAGGCUUGCCGCUAUAGGAUGGGGAUGCGUCUGAUUAGGUAGUCGGCGGGGUAACGGCCCACCGAGCCAUCGAUCAGUAGGGGUUCUGAGAGGAAGGUCCCCCACAUUGGAACUGAGACACGGUCCAAACUCCUACGGGAGGCAGCAGUGAGGAAUAUUGGUCAAUGGGCGAGAGCCUGAACCAGCCAAGUAGCGUGCCAGGAUGACGGCCCUAUGGGUUGUAAACUGCUUUUAUGCGGGGAUAAAGUUCACUACGUGUAGUGUUUUGUAGGUACCGCAUGAAUAAGGACCGGCUAAUUCCGUGCCAGCCGCUGC